GUCUUUUUUUGUUUUCCCGUAUCCGCCAUUUCAGUUUUUGAAGUUAGUUGUCAUCGGCCGCCGUAUUGUAGCUGCAGUUUUGCUGUUAAAACGCCUUGAAUGACAAAAAGAGCUGAAUUCUAACCACAAACCAAAUAAGAGUCCUAUUAUCUCGCGCUUGAGUUCCUGUGUCGGCGAAUUUAUGUCCAAACUGCUGGCUGCGGAUGUCGCCUGUUUACUAAACGUGCUCUAAGCGCUAAAGUUUUUGUAUGAGUUGAAGGCUUUGCUUGCGGAUAACGGGAGGGAGAGCAGGGAAGGCCCGGUGAAGCCUCGGCUUUGGAGUGGUUAUCAUGGCCGGAAAUUUUGACGCGGACGACCGCGGCAGUUGGUACUGGGGUCGGCUGAGAAGGCAGGAGGCUGUGUCUCUGUUGCAAGGGCAGCGGCACGGCGUGUUUCUGGUGCGGGACUCCAUCACCAGCCCCGGCGACUACGUGCUCUCGGUGUCAGAGAACUCCAAAGUCUCGCAUUACAUAAUUAACAGCAUCAGCAACAACAGACAGUCUGGUCCAGGUUUGGUCCAUCCAAGGUUCCGAAUUGGUGACCAGGAGUUUGAGGCACUCCCCGCUUUACUAGAAUUCUAUAAAAUCCACUACUUGGACACCACCACCUUGAUAGAACCUAUCAACAAGUCCAAACACACCUCCUUCAUCAAUGUUGGCGCCGGAGGCGGCCCCACGCCACGCCUGGAAGACGAGUAUGUCCGGGCGCUUUUCGAUUUCCCUGGCAACGAUGAGGAGGAUCUCCCUUUCAGGAAAGGCGAUAUUCUCCGAGUUCUCGAGAAGCCAGAGGAGCAGUGGUGGAACGCCCAGAACUCAGAAGGUCGGGCAGGGAUGAUCCCUGUGCCGUAUGUAGAGAAGUACCGGCCGGCGUCUCCAAGUUCGGUGGUGGGGACUGGCAUUCCUGGGGGACCGCUGGGAGGGAUGGGAAUGUUGGGGAACUCUGACAGCUCUGUGGCUCAGUCUGGCACACCACUUCUGGGUGACCCCAGCCAGUAUGCACAGCCCACUCCUCUCCCUAAUCUCCAGAAUGGACCUGUCUAUGCCAGGGCCAUACAGAAGAGGGUGCCUAAUGCCUAUGACAAGACAGCCCUGGCUUUAGAGGUGGGUGACAUGGUGAAGGUGACCAAAAUUAACGUGAAUGGCCAGUGGGAGGGGGAAUGUAAAGGCAAACGUGGCCACUUUCCCUUCACACACGUCAAACUGCUGGACCAGCACAAUGCUGAGGAUGAACUGAGCUGAGAGCGGUCAGCUGGGCCACAACCUGGACACUAGUAUUAGACCCUUCCUCACCCCUGCUCCCCCACCUGUCAUCCUUUACCACACACUUCACCUUCCUCACAUCUACUCCAGCUUUUACCUGCACCAAGUACAUUUUCAGAGAAUCGCAGAGAGCAAAACAAAAAGCCCUCGUCAUGAACACUCUCCUGCUCUACCCCUCUGAAUAGUUAUGCCUUCUGUCCUCCAACCCCUGCUCUGACUGGCUGGCUGACUUCAGAAUGGGUCAUGAUCUACAGUGGAAAAUGAUCAUCUACUCAGUGUUCUGUUCUGCGGAUGUGUCAACACUGUUUAAGUCCUCGUCAUGUCCCCGCCGUGGACACCUUAUCAACACUCACUCCUCAGGAGACUCCUCGCCACAGAAUUCGGCCACUUCCUCUUCCUGUGUUGGAGCCAGUAGAUAAUGACACUCAGUCAGCACUGUGUCAUUUUUCAUCCUCAUCCAUCAUCACCAUGUUUACGCCACUGUAGGAUCACUCGCACUGCAUUCACGUCAGAUGGAAUACAAAAGGGUCUGAACAGUGAAUAUGAAGCUACCACCUGCAGCUAAUUAUCCCAACAUAAAGACUGGAGGCAGCAGACAUGGCUGCUUAGCUCUUUGUAAAGCUAUCAAAAUUGCCAAUUAAUAGGCAACGUCUCGUUGUUUAAGCAACAUGAAAAUGAAUUGGGCAGUUCACCAUUAUGUACCUUUUUUUUUUGCUGGGAGUAGUUGCCGAGCAACCAGGUAAUCCUAAACCACUCUGCCCUGCAAAAAAAAAUAUGUACUUGUAAAAGCUCAAAUAACUGAAACUAGGAUAUAACUAGCACAUUCUUUUAUCUUUGAGCGGAACCAGGCUACUUAAUCUGCCUCACUAGCAGUGUUUCUGCUACUCUAAGCUAACCACUUGCUGUUAAUAAUUGUGCAAAUAAGAGAGUGUUAUCAAUCUACCAUCGAACACUCCAAAAGAUUGUAAGUGUGCUUCUCGUGCUUCUAUUACAUUUCAUUGUGAUUUUACUUUGACUUUGCAGUGCUUGCCUAGUGAGUGUUGAAUCUUCCACAAAAUCAAAUUUGCAAUGUCUCCACACAAAGAGCAGAUGCAGUUAAUCUCCCCUACAUGCCAUGGCAGUGUUUGUUUUCUUUCUUUCUUUCUUCAUUUUGCCCUUAAAGUUGCAGUAGGCAGGAUCCCUGAAGAAAAUUGUUGAUGUUUUGGAAUCAUGUUGUGUUCAUUGUCAGACUGUCAUUUCAGCUCUUUCCUUGAGCUUUCCUUUUUUAGAUUACUUAUUUACUAGCAUAGGAAACAAUUGGGGACCUUAUGCAGAGAAUGUGUAGUGGACCAGCCAAUAGGAGAAAUCUUUCUGAAGUGCUCUGUGAUUGAUCAGAUUGUACAAUGACACUAUACAUUUAUUUAUAAGGCUCAGAGGUGCAGAAGUGUUCUCUCUUGCUUUACAUGAUGCUGAAAUCAAUCAUUGAACUAUUAAUCAACAUUGUCAAGAAAAAUCCCUGCCUACUGUACCUUAAUGUUUUCCAGAUUCUGAUCACCAAAGUGGUGAUAACUUAAUUGAGGAAUAAGCAUCUUGAACAAUGUUGAAAAUGUUUUCAUCAACUAAUAUUUCUGUAUUUCUGCAGGGCAAGAAAUUUAAUCCAUGUUUGACAAGGUUACCAAUGUGGAGAGGAUGGUAUCUUUUAAAGUUUACAUCUACUUUUGGUCUUCACUCGGAAUGAAUGCAGCGUUAUCUUUGGCACAAGUUAAGAUCGAGCACAUUUUACCACCGAGAACAUAUUUUGUCAAGGUUCGGAGUGAAGAAAAAAGGUGACAUCAAAUGGAAGUGAACAGUCCAGCAUCCAAUCCCUAACACCAAAGUUCAAAAUGGGAUGAAGUCAGCAGCUAGUAGUGACUUGAUGUAGUCUUUGCGGUAGAGAAGGGCCCAAGCAAUGAACCUGAGAAGUUCCAGUCGAGGUGGAGAUAAAGGCAACACUACAUUUAAUCUCUCUUCACCUCCCACUUUUUACUUACCUCAGCCCCUAUCCACCAUUACCUACAACCACCAAGUAGUCUUUUUGUAAGAAAAACAAACAUUAAUAUGAAAUGAUGUACUCUGUGAUUAUCAUUACAUGCUAAAAUAUUAGUUUUCUUUUUUGUCGUUUUUUUCAUAGCUGGGUUUGACUGUGGGGAAUCGCUUUUGAUGAGCGCUUUAGGCCCAGGUCAUACUAUCUGUGUCUACUGACGUUCACCAGGGUCCCCAUGACAAAUUUCAUAAUCCUGGCGCUUGUCGCUGUGGCCCUAGUUUAAAUCAUCACACACCCUGUGGUCUUUGGUCAAAAGAAGCAAUGACAAUGAUAAUAACCCUGGACGCACAGAUGUGGCUUUGCAAGGAAGUCCACUUGUACCCAAACCAAUCGCACAAAUAAAAGAAGGAUAUUAGGACAAACUCCUUGAAAGAAAUCACUAUUCUUGCGUGGAGCGCCAGACUGAAGUUAAACCUUAUUUUAGUCUGAAUAAAACCACAGCUGUUUAGGGGGCAUGCAGAAAUGCAAAGAGUGGACACAGAAUACAGAAAGUAUCACCAGGGCCUUUGUCAAAAGCAAAGUGAUUUGUUCAUGCAAACAUUGAUGAAACUGACUCGCAGUUGGGAUUGGAGGGGUGUGGGAUGACAUCUCUCUCCUUAGCAAAAGAGACUGUUCUGUGUUCACAUCAUGUCAAAUAUGUCCAAGAAAAGAAAAAGUUGUUUUAUUUGGUACAUGUCCUUUGUCUUCAAUUGCCACGUUGCACUAUUUUCUUCUUUUCAGCUUUUGUAUUCGCCUUGUCCAUCUCUCGUUAACCCUCUGCCCUUUUAUUUAAUGCACACACCAUUAUGGACUUUGUUUUACUGUUUGUUUUUAUUUCUGUUUUGCCAAGCCAUUAGGAAAAUUGUGUUGCAGUGCAGAUUGCCCCCCCUCCAAAAAAAAGCUUUUUUGUGUGUAUUUAUGUUGAAUCAAUCAUCUAGUUGACACCUGACAAUCAUCACCCAUUUACAACAUGAAUGAAGCAGACUGCAUAGACAUGAACAGCUUAGUCAUUUGCCUGAGAGAACCUGCUCCUCUACUUCUGGCCUGUGCCGUUGUUCCACCUGUAGGUGGCACUGUUGCAACAUUCAGAAAGAUGGGCUCCGUCAGGAAAGCAUAUUCUACCAGUAAUUAUGAGAUUAAAGAAUGUGAAAUUUGAUUAACUGUAUGCACUUAACUGCGUUUACACUGAAUUUGCAUUGAUUAUACAGUAUGGUUUUCAGUUAGCCUUCAUUGCUUCACAUUUUUUUCUCCUGUUUUUAACUAUUUGGCUGACAUCUUGGAAAAAUCUGCACUCUAGGGAACUAAUUUUUUUUAAUCUGCAUAGUUGUGAUCAAAUCAAGCUUCUUUGUCACUCACGCUGCACAUGGCAAGUGUAUUGAAGAAUCAUCUUGUACGUUUUGUGUUGCCAAUGAAACCACCAAGAAGUAUUUUUUUAUUGGCCCUGCAUGAAGCCAUUCAUUUCCUUUGAUGAAAAGGAAGGGGUGUCAAAAUUCCAGUGGAAAUUUUGUUAAUAUCAAAAUGUGCCAUUUUAUUAUUAUAACACUAUAUUCUUUCAAGACAACGGAAAUUACAUUUUUAUUUUCUGUAGCAUGUAAUGUGGUAAUAUACUAGUAAAUAAAGUCAAACCCAUGACCAGUGAA